rnacentral:tRNA from 1 species
GGAGUUGUAGCUCAGUGGUGGAGCGCUUGCCUUGCACGCAUUAGGCCCUGGGUUCAAUCCUCAGCACCA